rnacentral:rRNA from 1 species
UAAGCAUAUCACUAAGCGGAGGAGUAAGAAACUAACCAGGAUUUCCCUAGUAACGGCGAGCGAACCGGAAAGAGCCCAGCUUGAAAAUCGGGGCCCCUCGGGCCCCGAAUUGUAGUCUGGAGACGCAUCCUCUGCAACGCACCGGACCCAAGUUCCCUGGAAAGGGACGUCAGAGAGGGUGACAACCCCGUCGAGUCUGGACCGUGUUGCUCCACGAGGUGUGGUCGUCGAGUCGGGCUGUUUGGGAAUGCAGCCCUAAGUGGGUGGUAAAUUCCAUCCAAGGCUAAAUAUUGGCAAGAGACCGAUAGCGAACAAGUACCGCGAGGGAAAGAUGAAAAGGACUUUGAAAAGAGAGUUAAAAAGUGCUUGAAAUUGCUGGGAGGGAAGCGAAUGGAAGCUGCGGGUGUGCCCCGGUUGGAUGUGGAACGGCUCGCGCUGGUCCGCCGCUCAACGCGGGGCACUGGUCAGCGUGGGCCAUCGCGGCGGGACAAGAGCGGGGUGUAGCUCCCCGCCUAUGCCGUUGCGGUGGCCGAGGAACGAAGCGCGCGGGCUUGCCCCGUGGGGUCUCCCCAACUGCGCGCUCGGGACGCUGGCGUAUUGAGCUCUUCAUCCGACCCGUCUUGAAACACGGACCAAGGAGUCUAACAUGUAUGCGAGCCGGUGGGCGGCAAACCCAUUGAGGCGCAAGGAAACUGACAGGUGGGACCCCAUCAUCUGGGAGCACCAUCGACCGACCGUGAUCUUCUGUGAAGGGUUC